GCCUCUAAGCAUCAGGUAACACGAAAUCGUACCCCAAACCGACACAGGUGGUCAGGUAGAGAAUACCAAGGCGCUUGAGAGAACUCGGGUGAAGGAACUAGGCAAAAUGGUGCCGUAACUUCGGGAGAAGGCACGCUGACACGUAGGUGAAGUGAUUUACUCAUGGAGCUGAAGUCAGUCGAAGAUACCAGCUGGCUGCAACUGUUUAUUAAAAACACAGCACUGUGCAAACACGAAAGUGGACGUAUACGGUGUGACGCCUGCCCGGUGCCGGAAGGUUAAUUGAUGGGGUCAGCGUAAGCGAAGCUCCUGAUCGAAG
rnacentral:rRNA from 1 species